GGAAUGUGAAAGUAAUGAAUGUAUUCGAGAUUACCUACGAUGUGACGGAGAUGUCGAUUGCGAAGAUGGAAGCGAUGAGGUCAAUUGUACGUUUUGUUCAAUCCUUAGUUGGCAAUGUAAUAAUAAACAAUGUAUACAAAAAUCCUUCAAAUGUGACGGUAAAGAGGAUUGUAUAGACAACAGUGAUGAAGAGAACUGCCCAAAGUGUUUACAAUCUGAAUGGAAAUGUUCUGAUCAGAAAUGCAUUAAGUUGAUUAACAGAUGUGAUGGAGAAAAGCAUUGUAAAGAUAAAGGCGAUGAAAAGAACUGUGGAAACUGUACAUUGGAUGCCUGGAAAUGUAAAAAUGAGGAAUGCAUUAAACUGAACAAGAGAUGUGAUGGAAAAAAAGACUGCAGUGAUAACAGUGAUGAAAUCG
rnacentral:sRNA from 1 species